UACGUAGGGCGCAAGCGUUAUCCGGAAUUAUUGAGCGUAAAGAGCUUGUAGGCGGUUCGUCGCGUCUGGUGUGAAAGCCCAUCGCUUAACGGUGGGUCUGCGCCGGGUACGGGCGGGCUAGAGUGCAGUAGGGGAGACUGGAAUUCCCGGUGUGACGGUGGAAUGUGUAGAUAUCGGGAAAAACACCAAUGGCGAAGGCAGGUCUCUGAGCUGUUACUGACGCUGAGAAGCGAAAGCGUGGGGAGCGAACAGGAUUAGAUACCCUGGUAGUCAAGGGCGAAUUCGUU
rnacentral:rRNA from 1 species